AUUAGUGGCGGACGGGUGAGUAACAUUUAGGAAUCUGCCUAGUAGUGGGGGAUAGCUCGGGGAAACUCGAAUUAAUACCGCAUACGACCUACGGGUGAAAGGGGGCGCAAGCUCUUGCUAUUAGAUGAGCCUAAAUCAGAUUAGCUAGUUGGUGGGGUAAAGGCCCACCAAGGCGACGAUCUGUAACUGGUCUGAGAGGAUGAUCAGUCACACCGGAACUGAGACACGGUCCGGACUCCUACGGGAGGCAGCAGUGGGGAAUAUUGGACAAUGGGGGCAACCCUGAUCCAGCCAUGCCGCGUGUGUGAAGAAGGCCUUUUGGUUGUAAAGCACUUUAAGCAGGGAGGAGAGGCUAAUGGUUAAUACCCAUUAGAUUAGACGUUACCUGCAGAAUAAGCACCGGCUAACUCUGUGCCAGCAGCCGCGGUAAUACAGAGGGUGCGGGCGUUAAUCGGAAUUACUGGGCGUAAAGCGAGUGUAGGUGG
rnacentral:rRNA from 1 species